rnacentral:rRNA from 1 species
UGGGGAAUAUUGCACAAUGGGCGCAAGCCUGAUGCAGCCAUGCCGCGUGUGUGAAGAAGGCCUUCGGGUUGUAAAGCACUUUCAGCGAGGAGGAAGGUGGUGAGCUUAAUACGCUCAUCAAUUGACGUUACUCGCAGAAGAAGCACCGGCUAACUCCGUGCCAGCAGCCGCGGUAAUACGGAGGGUGCAAGCGUUAAUCGGAAUUACUGGGCGUAAAGCGCACGCAGGCGGUUUGUUAAGUCAGAUGUGAAAUCCCCGGGCUCAACCUGGGAACUGCAUUUGAAACUGGCAAGCUAGAGUCCCGUAGAGGGGGGUAGAAUUCCAGGUGUAGCGGUGAAAUGCGUAGAGAUCUGGAGGAAUACCGGUGGCGAAGGCGGCCCCCUGGACGAAGACCGACGCUCAGGUGCGAAAGCGUGGGGCAGCAAACAGGAUUAGAUACCCUGGUAGUCCACCGCUGUAAAACGAUGUCGAUUUGGAGGUUGUGCCCUUGAGGCGUGGCUUCCGGAGCUAACGCGUUAAAUCGACCGCCUGGGGAGUACGGCCGCAAGGUUAAAACUCAAAUGAAUUGAC